CCUACGGGUGGCAGCAGUGGGGAAUAUUGGACAAUGGGGGGAACCCUGAUCCAGCCAUGCCGCGUGUGUGAAGAAGGCCCUCGGGUUGUAAAGCACUUUCAGUGAGGAAGAACGCCUGGUGGUUAAUACCCAUCAGGAAAGACAUCACUCACAGAAGAAGCACCGGCUAACUCCGUGCCAGCAGCCGCGGUAAUACGGAGGGUGCGAGCGUUAAUCGGAAUUACUGGGCGUAAAGCGCGCGUAGGUGGCUUGAUAAGCCGGUUGUGAAAGCCCCGGGCUCAACCUGGGAACGGCAUCCGGAACUGUCAAUCUAGAGUGCAGGAGAGGAAGGUAGAAUUCCCGGUGUAGCGGUGAAAUGCGUAGAGAUCGGGAGGAAUACCAGUGGCGAAGGCGGCCUUCUGGACUGACACUGACACUGAGGUGCGAAAGCGUGGGUAGCAAACAGGAUUAGAUACCCCGGUAGUC
rnacentral:rRNA from 1 species